GAUGAACGCUAGCUACAGGCUUAACACAUGCAAGUCGAGGGGAAACGACAUCGAAAGCUUGCUUUUGAUGGGCGUCGACCGGCGCACGGGUGAGUAACGCGUAUCCAACCUGCCCAUCACUUGGGAAUAACCUUGCGAACGUAAGACUAAUACCCAAUGAUAUCCCACGAAGGCAUCGGAAUGGUAUUCAAGAUUUAUCGGUGAUGGAUGGGGAUGCGUCUGAUUAUCUUGUUGGCGGGGUAACGGCCCACCAAGGCAACGAUCAGUAGGGGUUCUGAGAGGAAGGUCCCCCAGAAUGGAACUGAGACACGGACCAAAAUCCUACGGGAGGCAGCAGUAAGGAAUAUUGGUCAAUGGGCGAGGGCCUGAACCAGCCAAGUAGCGUGCAGGAAGACGGCCCUAUGGGUUGUAAACUGCUUUUAUAAGGGAAUAAAGUGGGUCACGUGUGACUUUUUGCAUGUACCUUAUGAAUAAGGACCGGCUAAUUACGUG
rnacentral:rRNA from 1 species